rnacentral:lncRNA from 1 species
ACUGAUGGCAUACUACUUCUCUUGAGAGUCAGUUAAUGGAAAGUGGGAAGUGGGUAAUAAUCCUUGCCUGUCCUUCCUCGUGGUGCGGUGGGUUUGGUCCUCUUUAACUUUUCCGUUCUACAAAUGUCUGUGUCAGGUGCUACACCUGGUGCUGGGGCUAUGGGAAGUAGGUGUGCUGUUGAUCAACACACUUUGAUGUGUUGAGGGUGGGUAUGAACUUUCCGUCACUGGUAGUGCUCAGGGACGGACUGGUGCUCAGUUAGGGGCACCAGUUAGGGGAUUCUGACCCUGUGAAGAGGUGGGCCUGGCUGUCCCAGGACUGUCUGGUCACCAGUUUUCUG